CAGUAGCCGCGGUAAUACGAAGGGUGCAAGCGUUAAUCGGAAUUACUGGGCGUAAAGCGUGCGUAGGCGGUUUGUUAAGUCUGCUGUGAAAUCCCCGGGCUCAACCUGGGAAUGGCAGUGGAUACUGGCAAGCUAGAGUGUGUCAGAGGAUGGUGGAAUUCCCGGUGUAGCGGUGAAAUGUGUAGAGAUCGGGAGGAACAUCAGUGGCGAAGGCGGCCAUCUGGGACAACACUGACGCUGAGGCACGAAAGCGUGGGGAGCAAACAGGAUUAGAUACCCCCGUAGUCCCUGUCUCUUAUAC
rnacentral:rRNA from 1 species